rnacentral:rRNA from 1 species
AGCAGCUUGCUGCUUCGCUGACGAGUGGCGGACGGGUGAGUAAUGUCUGGGAAACUGCCUGAUGGAGGGGGAUAACUACUGGAAACGGUAGCUAAUACCGCAUAACGUCGCAAGACCAAAGAGGGGGACCUUCGGGCCUCUUGCCAUCAGAUGUGCCCAGAUGGGAUUAGCUAGUAGGUGGGGUAACGGCUCACCUAGGCGACGAUCCCUAGCUGGUCUGAGAGGAUGACCAGCCACACUGGAACUGAGACACGGUCCAGACUCCUACGGGAGGCAGCAGUGGGGAAUAUUGCACAAUGGGCGCAAGCCUGAUGCAGCCAUGCCGCGUGUAUGAAGAAGGCCUUCGGGUUGUAAAGUACUUUCAGCGGGGAGGAAGGGAGUAAAGUUAAUACCUUUGCUCAUUGACGUUACCCGCAGAAGAGGCACCGGCUAACUCCGUGCCAGC